AAGUCGAGCGGACAGAUGGGAGCUUGCUCCCUGAUGUUAGCGGCGGACGGGUGAGUAACACGUGGGUAACCUGCCUGUAAGACUGGGAUAACUCCGGGAAACCGGGGCUAAUACCGGAUGCUUGUUUGAACCGCAUGGUUCAAACAUAAAAGGUGGCUUCGGCUACCACUUACAGAUGGACCCGCGGCGCAUUAGCUAGUUGGUGAGGUAAUGGCUCACCAAGGCAACGAUGCGUAGCCGACCUGAGAGGGUGAUCGGCCACACUGGGACUGAGACACGGCCCAGACUCCUACGGGAGGCAGCAGUAGGGAAUCUUCCGCAAUGGACGAAAGUCUGACGGAGCAACGCCGCGUGAGUGAUGAAGGUUUUCGGAUCGUAAAGCUCUGUUGUUAGGGAAGAACAAGUACCGUUCGAAUAGGGCGGUACCUUGACGGUACCUAACCAGAAAGCCACGGCUAACUACGUGCCAGCAGCCGCGGUAAUACGUAGGUGGCAAGCGUUGUCCGGAAUUAUUGGGCGUAAAGGGCUCGCAGGCGGUUCCUUAAGUCUGAUGUGAAAGCCCCCGGCUCAACCGGGGAGGGUCAUUGGAAACUGGGGAACUUGAGUGCAGAAGAGGAGAGUGGAAUUCC
rnacentral:rRNA from 1 species